rnacentral:lncRNA from 1 species
GCUCCCGGGCGGCGGUGGCACCACGUAGCCGCCUCCUUCCACCGCUCGCUUUAUCCCCGCCCCUUCUCGGGCCAACCCCAAGCGCCGCUGACCCCGAACGUCGCUGCGGGAUAGAUGGAAUGUACAGCCAGAGGAUUGGAUGAGGUCAUCGACGGAGAGAAUGCAGAGAGAAUCCUGGGGCUCACCAACAUGAAGAAUUUGGGACAAGAAAGAAGAUCCAGCAGAGAAGACUGAAAGAAGGCAACUAAUGAAAUAGGAGAGAACCUGGAGAGCACAGAGUCUUAGAGGCCAAGAAAGUGGUUUAAUAUAAUCCGUAUCAAAGCAUUUGUGGUUUAUUUUUGUUAACUGACAAAAGGAUUCUAAAACAUACCUGAAAAGUAUAAUUCACACCUAGGAUAAUGGAUCAUUCUGUCACAUUGUUCCUUUUUCACAGCUGAUAUGAACAUGAUAUUUUCAUGACUUUGUAAAAUAAAAAUGGAAUCUUUCUAAUUUUUUUAAAAAAACUGCUUACUUAUGCAAGCCUUCUGUCUCUCACUGUAUAACCCCUCCACUUUUAUACGGGUCACACAUGUUUCUGUCACUUUCCUGGAGCCCUUGUAG